CUCCUUUGACGUUAGCGGCGGACGGGUGAGUAACACGUGGGUAACCUACCUAUAAUACUGGGAUAACUUCGGGAAACCGGAGCUAAUACCGGAUAAUAUUUCGAACCGCAUGGUUCGAUAGUGAAAGGUGGUUUUGCUAUCACUUAUAGAUGGACCCGCGCCGUAUUAGCUAGUUGGUAAGGUAACGGCUUACCAAGGCGACGAUACGUAGCCGACCUGANAGGGUGAUCGGCCACACUGGAACUGAGACACGGUCCAGACUCCUACGGGAGGCAGCAGUA
rnacentral:rRNA from 1 species